CUGAAUGAUCUUUCUUGGACAUACAUUUUGAAGUGACCCUUCGAAUUAAAAAGGUUCCUCAGCUGCUUUUGAGGAAAAACAUCAAUGUGCUUGGCCACUCUGGUUUUUAAAUGGUAUUCUGAACUAAAGCAAGGAUUGUUCAAGUUAGUUGAAAAUAGACCGUCUCUGGUUAAAUUAGUUCUACACCAAGCCUUUAGGUGGCAGUAAAACGAAUGGGCACAAUGCGAAUUCCACACACAAGCCACAAAGAAGCCAUCAGCCGCGGUCAACAGCACCUUCCUGAUUGAACAGAACCACGCGUUGUCUGUGUGGUUUACAAGUUUCUUGGCGAUAUGGGGGGAAAGUUCCUCACAUACCAACGGAAAAUGGGCUUCAUAUACAUGCUGCUGUCUCAUAAUAUGGCGAAGACGAGUCACCUGAAGGCCUAACUCGCCAUAGAAGACUGAAAGAAUUGUCCUGCAGGAUGCUGUGUCCUGCAAUCCUGUGUGCUGUGCUACAGACGCGUGUGGAGGUCAACCCAAAAUGGGCACAGUCUCACCACAGAAGAGUGAAAGAGGAUCCUGGCAGGGAGACGGUAGUGUCCUGCAGAAUGGUGAUGGGCCAAUCUUACAAGAGACCACAGAAAACUGAUAUAGUGAACUAUAGAAACAACAGUGCCUGCUGCAGUAUAACGAGGACACCCUGAGCAGAGAGCUCCAAUAGACCCAGGUCCAGUGUCUUGGCAGGGUGAAAUGGCACUGAUAUGGUGUCCUGCAGGAUGCUGUGUCCUGCAAUCCUGUGUGCUGUGCUACAGACGCGUGUGGAGGUCAACCCAAAAUGGGCACAGUCUCACCACAGAAGAGUGAAAGAGGCUCCCAGAAGUGAGACUGAGUGCCUGUUGCAGUAUGACGAGGACGCAGUGACCAGAGACCUUCAGUAGACCCUGCUGGCAUGAUUGGCGUCUGAAGAACAUGAAAUCAACAGCAAUGUUUAUAAUGUUGUACAUACCUGUAUAGUCUGUAUUAAAAGGCAGUACCUGUA